AACGAACGCUGGCGGCGUGCUUAACACAUGCAAGUCGAACGUGAAGGGGGCUUCGGUCCCUGGAAAGUGGCGCACGGGUGAGUAACACGUGGAUAAUCUACCCGAUGAUCCGGGAUAACCUUUCGAAAGGGGGGCUAAUACCGAAUAAGCUCACGAACUCCUCGGGGUUUGCGGGAAAAGGUGGGGACCUUCGGGCCUACCGUCAUCGGAUGAGUCCGCGGCCCAUUAGCUAGUUGGUGGGGUAAUGGCCUACCAAGGCAACGAUGGGUAGCUGGUCUGAGAGGAUGAUCAGCCACACUGGAACUGAGACACGGUCCAGACUCCUACGGGAGGCUG
rnacentral:rRNA from 1 species